rnacentral:rRNA from 1 species
AUUGGAGGCUUGUAUGAUGGUUUUACACGUAAUAAUUACUUUUAUCUUUAAAGGUUGAAUUUUUGAUUUAAGUAAAAACACUUAAAUGGCCCAGGGGGACGAUAAGACCCUAAAAUUUUUAUCUGGCGGGGUUGAGUGGAGUGAUGGUUUAAGAUUUAAUCUAGGGAGGUUUGGCUGGGGUAGUUUUUUUAUAUAAACUAAGGUUUGCGUCGGCAGGACUUUUGGCUAAAAGGUCCUCUAUAUAAGGAAAAAUGGUGUUAAUUACUUUAGGGGUAACAGCGUGAUUUUUUUAGCGAGAUCAUAUCUAUGGAGAAGAUUACGACCUCGAUGUUGAAUUAAAAGAUCUUCGCGAAGCAGAAAGCGUGAGAGAGGGUUUGUUCAGCCUUUAAAUUUUUACAUGAUUU